UACAGAGGGUGCGAGCGUUGUCCGGAAUCACUGGGCGUAAAGGGUGAGUAGGUGGCUAGGUAAGCGUGUGGUGAAAGUCCGGGGCUCAACCCCGGAUCUGCCGUGCGAACUGCUUAGCUCGAGCAAUGUAGAGGCAGGUGGAAUUUCGGGUGUAGCGGUGGAAUGCGUAGAUAUCCGAAAGAACACCAGUGGCGAAGGCGGCCUGCUGGGCAUUUACUGACAC
rnacentral:rRNA from 1 species